UACGAAGGGGGCUAGCGUUGCUCGGAAUCACUGGGCGUAAAGCGCACGUAGGCGGAUUUCUAAGUCAGGGGUGAAAUCCUGGAGCUCAACUCCAGAACUGCCUUUGAUACUGGGAAUCUUCGAGUCCGGGAGAGGUGAGUGGAACUGCGAGUGUAGAGGUGAAAUUCGUAGAUAUUCGCAAGAACACCAGUGGCGAAGGCGGCUCACUGGCCCGGUACUGACGCUGAGGUGCAAAAGCGUGGGGAGCAAACAGG
rnacentral:rRNA from 1 species